AUGCAAGUCGAACGGAGAAUUUUAUUUCGGUAGAAUUCUUAGUGGCGAACGGGUGAGUAACGCGUAGGCAACCUACCCUUUAGACGGGGACAACAUUCCGAAAGGAGUGCUAAUACCGGAUGUGAUCAUCUUGCCGCAUGGCAGGAUGAAGAAAGAUGGCCUCUACAAGUAAGCUAUCGCUAAAGGAUGGGCCUGCGUCUGAUUAGCUAGUUGGUAGUGUAACGGACUACCAAGGCGAUGAUCAGUAGCCGGUCUGAGAGGAUGAACGGCCACAUUGGGACUGAGACACGGCCCAAACUCCUACGGGAGGCAGCAGUGGGGAAUCUUCCGCAAUGGACGAAAGUCUGACGGAGCAACGCCGCGUGAGUGAUGAAGGAUUUCGGUCUGUAAAGCUCUGUUGUUUAUGACGAACGUGCAGUGUGUGAACAAUGCAUUGCAAUGACGGUAGUAAACGAGGAAGCCACGGCUAACUACGUGCCAGCAGCCGCGGUAAUACGUAGGUGGCGAGCGUUGUCCGGAAUUAUUGGGCGUAAAGAGCAUGUAGGCGGCUUAAUAAGUCGAGCGUGAAAAUGCGGGGCUCAACCCCGUAUGGCGCUGGAAACUGUUAGGCUUGAGUGCAGGAGAGGAAAGGGGAAUUCCCAGUGUAGCGGUGAAAUGCGUAGAUAUUGGGAGGAACACCAGUGGCGAAGGCGCCUUUCUGGACUGUGUCUGACGCUGAGAUGCGAAAGCCAGGGUAGCGAACGGGAUUAGAUACCCCGGUAGUCCUGGCCGUAAACGAUGGGUACUAGGUGUAGGAGGUAUCGACCCCUUCUGUGCCGGAGUUAACGCAAUAAGUACCCCGCCUGGGG
rnacentral:rRNA from 1 species